rnacentral:siRNA from 1 species
CGAGACACGUGCAACGCCUAC